UUAACCCUCGUCCAACCAACACAAUAAAUUAAAAGAUUAACUGUUGAAGCGACAUGCAAGCACAAAAAAAUGAGAUUAACACACCAUGUAACAAUUGACUAAAAAAGGAUCUACUCGGAAUUAUUUACAAAUGAUGGUAAUUAUGGUUAUUUGAUGUCUCUCAUCGCUGAUGGUCCCUUAAUCUGAUGUGAUUAUCAACCUGUUAUAAAAAAAAUUACUAGAUAAUCAAUGAAGACAUCAUGUUAUCAUGUGAAAAUCAUGAUUAUAAUGACUUUGGACUUGCAUUUCAAUUGACUCCAGUAGCUAACCAAUCUCAAACCCAUCCAUGUUGGCUGUUAUUAUAUUCAAGUGGCUUACAUUAUUUUUCUGGUCAACAACAGUAGGAUCAAAAGAUCAAGCCAAUUUAUAUCAAUUUGGAUUAAAAUAUUAAUUGCAACGGGAAGUUUGGUCACCACUCAAAAUGAUUUAUCUUGAAGAUUAAACACUCUCGAAGAUUGAUCAAUUGGAAUCGCUUAGAUAAUCAUCAUUUGUUUGUAUUUUCCUGUUGUUUACAAUAAUUCAAUGUAAUUCCUUGAAACUGUAAAUGUUCAUCAUUUUUAACUCUAUUGAGUCCUAAUAUCUUUCACAAUUUACCUGCAAGACUCAUAAUUAACAAGUUAUUAUGUGACAGUAAUGUUUAGUCUUGCAUUUGAUUGUAAAAUUGAAUAUAUCUUGUAAUUUGUGAACCUUUUAGACUCAACUGAAUAAUUGAGAUUGAAGAAACUGAGUGAAUAGAUUAAAAGACCAUAAUUAAUGAACAUUAUCUUCAUACAAUCUACAUUUCAUCUGAA